GGUCCCUGUGCUUGAUAGAGGGGCAUGUGGCUAGUGGUGCCCAUCUCAGAGCAGCCAGGGGUAGAGCAAUUCCUUGUUCAUCCCAGCAUUGCUUUUGGUCUAUGCUCUUGCUUGGUUCAUGCCCUGGAUAUAUAU